UACGUAGGAUGCAAGCGUUGUCCGGAAUCAUUGGGCGUAAGGCGAACGUAGGCGGUUUCUUAAGUCUGUGCUUAAAGACCGGGACUCAACCCCGGGAGUGGCAUGGAUACUGGGAGACUGGAGGAUGUCAGAGGAAAGUGGAAUUCCUAGUGUAGCGGUGAAAUGCGUAGAUAUUAGGAGGAACACCAGUGGCGAAAGCGGCUCCCUGGUCCAGCACCGACGUUCAGGCACGAAAGCGUGGGGAUCAAACAGG
rnacentral:rRNA from 1 species